UACGUAGGGUGCGAGCGUUAAUCGGAAUUACUGGGCGUAAAGCGUGCGCAGGCGGUUCGUGAUGUCUGAUGUGAAAGCCCCGGGCUCAACCUGGGAACUGCAUUGGAAACUAGCGGGCUGGAGUGUGGCAGAGGGGGGUGGAAUUCCGCGUGUAGCAGUGAAAUGCGUAGAGAUGCGGAGGAACACCGAUGGCGAAGGCAGCCCCCUGGGCUAGCACUGACGCUCAGGCACGAAAGCGUGGGGAGCAAACAGG
rnacentral:rRNA from 1 species